AGUGAACGCUGGCGGUAGGCCUAACACAUGCAAGUCGAACGGCAGCACAGUAAGAGCUUGCUCUUACGGGUGGCGAGUGGCGGACGGGUGAGGAAUACAUCGGAAUCUACUUUUUCGUGGGGGAUAACGUAGGGAAACUUACGCUAAUACCGCAUACGACCUACGGGUGAAAGCAGGGGAUCUUCGGACCUUGCGCGAUUGAAUGAGCCGAUGUCGGAUUAGCUAGUUGGCGGGGUAAAGGCCCACCAAGGCGACGAUCCGUAGCUGGUCUGAGAGGAUGAUCAGCCACACUGGAACUGAGACACGGUCCAGACUCCUACGGGAGGCAGCAGUGGGGAAUAUUGGACAAUGGGCGCAAGCCUGAUCCAGCCAUACCGCGUGGGUGAAGAAGGCCUUCGGGUUGUAAAGCCCUUUUGUUGGGAAAGAAAAGCAGCAGGUUAAUACCUCGCUGUUCUGACGGUACCCAAAGAAUAAGCACCGACUAACUUCGUG
rnacentral:rRNA from 1 species